CCUACGGGAGACAGCAGUGAGGAAUAUUGGUCAAUGGGAGAGAUCCUGACCAGCCAAGCCGCGUGAGGGAAGACGGCCCUAUGGAUUGUAAAACUCUUUUGUCGGGGAGCAAAAGACGCCACGCGUGGCGGUCCGAGAGUACCCGAAGAAAAAGCAUCGGCUAACUCCGUGCCAGCAGCCGCGGUAAUACGGAGGAUGCGAGCGUUAGCCGGAUUUAUUGGGUUUAAAGGGUGCGCAGGCGGAAGAUCAAGUCAGCGGUAAAAUUGAGAGGCUCAACCUCUUCGAGCCGUUGAAACUGGUUUUCUUGAGUGAGCGAGAAGUAUGCGGAAUGCGUGGUGUAGCGGUGAAAUGCAUAGAUAUCACGCAGAACUCCGAUUGCGAAGGCAGCAUACCGGCGCUCAACUGACGCUCAUGCACGAAAGUGUGGGUAUCGAACAGGAUUAGAUACCCUUGUAGUC
rnacentral:rRNA from 1 species